rnacentral:rRNA from 1 species
GACGAACGCUGGCGGCGUGCCUAAUACAUGCAAGUCGAGCGAGCGGAACCAACAGAUUUACUUCGGUAAUGACGUUGGGAAAGCGAGCGGCGGAUGGGUGAGUAACACGUGGGGAACCUGCCCCUAAGUCUGGGAUACCAUUUGGAAACUGGUGCUAAUACCGGAUAAUAAAGCAGAUCGCAUGAUCAGCUUUUGAAAGGCGGCGUAAGCUGUCGCUAAGGGAUGGCCCCGCGGUGCAUUAGCUAGUUGGUAAGGUAAAAGCUCACCAAGGCGACGAUCCUUAGCUGGUCUGAGAGGAUGAUCAGCCACACUGGGACUGAGACACGGCCCAG